rnacentral:rRNA from 1 species
GGCGAGUAGAGCAGCGCAAGGGUGAGUAAUACAUGGCUAACAUACCCCAUACAUGAGAAUAACUAUUAGAAAUGAUAGCUAAUGCUCAAUAGUUUCUUAAGGCCGCAUGGUCUAAAGAAUAAAGGUAGGGAUCCUUCGGGACCUUCUGGUUUGGGAGUGGGUCAUGGGCUAUCAGCUAGUUGGUGAGGUAAAGGCUCACCAAGGCUAAGACGGCUAGGCGAUCUGAGAGGAUGAUCGCCCACAUCGGGACUGAGACACUGCCCGGACUCCUACGGGAGGCUGCAGUCGAGAAUCUUCCGCAAUGGGCGCAAGCCUGACGGAGCGACGCCGCGUGAGGGACGAAGGCUUUAGGGUCGUAAACCUCUUUCGCUUGUUAAGAAAAGUGUAUGUUAAUAGCAUGCACCCUGACAAAGGCAAGUAAAGAAGCACCGGCUAAAUCCGUGCCAGCAGCCGCGGUAAUACGGAUGGUGCAAGCGUUACUCGGAAUCACUGGGCGUAAAGCGCGCGUAGGUGGUUUGUUAAGUUGGAUGUGUAAUCCCACGGCUCAACCGUGGAACUGCGUUCAAAACUGAUGAACUAGAGAGCAGUAGGGGACAAGGGAACUUCAGGUGGAGCGGUGAAAUGCGUAGAUAUCUGAAGGAACACCGAUGGCGAAAGCACUUGUCUGGGCUGAUUCUGACACUGAGGAACGAAAGCUAGGGUAGCGAACGGGAUUAGAUACCCCGGUAGUCCUAGCCGUAAACGAUGGGCACUAGGCAAUGGGCCCUCCUAUGAGGUUCAUUGCCGGAGCUAAUGUGUUAAGUGCCCCGCCUGGGGAGUACGCUCGCAAGGGUAAAACUCAAAGGAAUUGACGGGGGCUCACACAAGCGGUGGAGCAUGUGGUUUAAUUCGAAGCUACGCGAAGAACCUCACCCAGGUUUGACAUGGAUGAAUUAGGUCUGAGAAACCAGACUGACACCCUUCGGGGCGGAACAUUCACAGGUGUUGCAUGGCUGUCGUCAGCUCGUGUCGUGAGAUGUCGGGUUAAGUCCCUAAACGAGCGAAACCCCUAUUGUUAGUUGCUAACGAGUAAUGUCGAGGACUUUAACAAGACCGCCGUGGUUAACACGGAGGAAGGUGGGGAUGACGUCAAGUCAUCAUGGCCCUUAUACCUGGGGCUACACACGUGCUACAAUGGGCAGUACAGAGGGUUGCGAAGUCGUGAGGCUAAGCUAAUCCCUUAAAGCUGCUCCUAGUUCGGAUUGUAGGCUGAAACUCGCCUACAUGAAGCUGGAAUCGCUAGUAAUCGCGGGUCAGCAUACCGCGGUGAAUAUGUUCCUGAGCCUUGUACACACCGCCCGUCAAGCCACGAAAGUUGGUAGUGCUUGAAGACGUACGUUUAACCUUCGGGAGAGCGUGCGCCCAUGGCAAGAUCGAUAAUCGGGACUAAGUCGUAACAAGGUAGCCGUAGGGGAACCUGCGGCUG